rnacentral:rRNA from 1 species
CGGGUUGUAAAGCACUUUCAGUAGGGAGGAAGGUAGUGUAGUUAACACCUGCACUAUUUGACGUUACCUACAGAAGAAGCACCGGCUAACUCCGUGCCAGCAGCCGCGGUAAUACGGAGGGUGCGAGCGUUAAUCGGAAUUACUGGGCGUAAAGCGCAUGCAGGCGGCCUGUUAAGUCAGAUGUGAAAGACCCGGGGCGUUAACCUCGGAAUUGCAUUUGUAAACUAGGCAGGCUAGAGUCUUGUAGAGGGGGGUAGGAAUUUCUAGGUGUAGCGGUGAAAUAGCGUAGAGAUCUGAAGGAAUACCAGUGGCGAAGGCGGCCCCCUCGGACAAAGACUGACGCUCAGAUGCGAAAGCGUGGGGAGCAAACAGGAUUAGAUACCCUGGUAG